rnacentral:rRNA from 1 species
ACGUACACUCCUACGGGAGGCAGCAGUGGGGAAUUUUGGACAAUGGGCGAAAGCCUGAUCCAGCCAUGCCGCGUGCAGGAUGAAGGCCUUCGGGUUGUAAACUGCUUUUGUACGGAACGAAACGGCCUUUUCUAAUAAAGAGGGCUAAUGACGGUACCGUAAGAAUAAGCACCGGCUAACUACGUGCCAGCAGCCGCGGUAAUACGUAGGGUGCAAGCGUUAAUCGGAAUUACUGGGCGUAAAGCGUGCGCAGGCGGUUAUGUAAGACAGUUGUGAAAUCCCCGGGCUCAACCUGGGAACUGCAUCUGUGACUGCAUAGCUAGAGUACGGUAGAGGGGGAUGGAAUUCCGCGUGUAGCAGUGAAAUGCGUAGAUAUGCGGAGGAACACCGAUGGCGAAGGCAAUCCCCUGGACCUGUACUGACGCUCAUGCACGAAAGCGUGGGGAGCAAACAGGAUUAGAAACCCUAGUAGUCC